rnacentral:sRNA from 1 species
GAAUUGCAAAGUCAGCAAAGAUAGGAGGUUAUAAGAUUUGGGUGAGUGGAAUUAACUUGGGGAGAAUGAGGUCAUCACCUUCUCACUCCACUCUACCGCUAAAGCAGUGAGAUCCGGUCUAAUGUCUCCUGAACCCUAAGAUGUAACUUGCUUUGGUGAUCUCACACAUGAUAAGAAAACUGAGAAGACAGAGAGGUUAAAUAUCUUUCCUAAGGUCACAGAACUGAUAUGACAUCAAAGCUCUUAUUGGGACAGGCAGUUUCAGCAGGGUUGUCAGGGUAGAGCAGAAGACCACCAAGAAACCUUUUGCAAUAAAAGUGAUGGAAACCAGAGAGAGGGAAGGUAGAGAAGCAUGCGUGUCUGAGGUGAGCGUCCUGCGGCGGGUUAGCCAUCGUUACAUUGUCCAGCUCAUGGAGAUCUUUGAGGCUGAGGAUCGAGUUUACAUGGUAAUGGAGCUGGCUACCGGAGGGGAGCUCUUUGAUCGACUCAUUGCUCAGGGAUCCUUUACAGAGCGGGAUGCCGUCAGGAUCCUCCAGAUGGUUGCUGAUGGGAUUAGGUAUUUGCACGCUCUGCGGAUAACUCAUAGGAACCUAAAGCCUGAAAACCUCUUAUACUAUCAUCCAGGUG